GGAACCUACAUCGGCAUUUACAAUGUACAUACAAAAGACAACCUCAAAACAUUAAUAAAAUGUCACUGACAUGGUUAAGUACUACCAAAAGUCAUAGAUAGAAUUGUACAAAGCGCAUACAAGUGUUGGCGUUUAGUUAAUGACAAACAAUAAUAUAUUUGCAUACUAUCCUAUAUUGUUGAUGACUUCAUUCAACUAUUAACAUCGUUGUUUCAUGUGGAAUAUUCACUUUAUUAUACUCACCUUUAUUUUGCUCGACAACCACUGUAAUGAACAUGCAGAAGUAAAUUCGCCACAUAAAAAUAAGCAGCAAUCACCCCAAACAACGAGUCUUUUAGGAUUUCCUUUUUCAAGUACUCAUUUUUUACUCUGAAAACUCUUGCAUACUAAUCAACUCUAUUAUGACUAUUUUCAAGUACUCAUUUUUUACUCUUGAAAAGUCUUGCUUACUAAUCAUCUCUAUUAUGACUCUUUUCAACAGGAAAUGAUUCACUUCGAAUCUCCACUUACUUUGGAUUACAAGUCAUUGUGAGAAAAAUACCUCAGAGUCCAAAUUU
rnacentral:lncRNA from 1 species